ensembl:lncRNA
CCGGGGAGCACAGGCGGGAGCCCAGCAGACAGGAGGAGGACGGGGUCCUGGGCAGGCAGAAGGGAACUGGAGGGGCUCAGAGUCAGAGGCAGUGCUCCUCCACGCCUGGCAAGGGAAUUCAUUUGACUUUAAAUUUGAGCUGCUCGUUUUUGUUCCACUAAUGAGAACAGUGCGUUUGCUCUAUAUAAACUAUUUUUACAUUUGAUUAGAGGAGCCCCUGAUCUGUUAGGGAAAGCGCUGGUUUGGUAUGAAAAUAUCAUUUUGGGGGCUACACAAGAGGGCAUCUGGUUUUUCCUGGUUCUUAAGCCAGAGCUUGAGUGAAAAGCUUUGGACUUAAAUGCAUCCAAGUGAUGGACAUAUGCAGCCUCCACAUCCAGGAGGAGACGGGUCCUUCGCAGUGGGGCCUGCCAGUGUUCUAUCACCGAGGCCCAAAGUUUGUUUUGCUCAUGUGCCCGGAGACCCCAAAGCAAGGGAAGCAUUCACAAGGAGAUAAACGUAUAAACACAAGAAGAAACCAACACACACAUCCUCUGCAGGACAGUCGGGAAAUCACACAGGAUCCGACCAAAGGAAGAAGCCAGGAAAGUCAAUAAACAAGUUGGAGGAGACGCAAUGUACAGAGAAGAAAUAAACACUGAGAGGAGGAAAAAAGAUGCAACAUGGAAGGUCUUGAGUUAAAAAGUUCCCUGAGCCUCUAUUUCCAGGAUUGUAUCUGAGGUCCCAGGGAUCAGAAAGUCACCCUCCCAGGAGACUCUGUGUCACCAAUGCCUCGAAAUUUCUCCUCUCUGCCUCACAGCCCUCUCUCAUCCACUCGGUGCCCACAUGGGCCUUGUUCUGAGUCGUGUAAUUUUCAGGGAGGCCAUGUUUUGCUAAUUAUUGAGGCAAGGCAAGGAAUCAACCUUCCUUGAGGACACGCUGUAUGCCAGACACGGUUUGACUUUCUACAAUGACUACCAAAUUGCUCUCAGUAAUAUCUCAUCAUGAGAUAAAUGGUCUUACCAUUUUAGAAAGAAUUUUGCAUAAAGUCCCACAGCCAGUAGAGUUGGAAGUGAAAUAGAAUUUGCUCUUAAAAAGCCCCUACCCCUCUACUCUGUCUCUCUGUAACCUCUAGUCCCCAGAUUCCUUCCCUUCCCUGUGUCCUGUGCCUUUAAGGAUCAUUUGCAGGGAGUCCUGUUCUGACUAUUUAGGGCUGAGGAGCCUCAGGUGAGUAACACCCAAAACUAGAGUCAGAAGGUUGGCUCGGCACAGCGCUGGGAUGUGUGGAAGUCAGAGAAGCAUGUGAAGAGACAGGUACAGCAGUUCAGCAAGAGCUAUGAGAAUCAGAGGGAAAACCGCCUUCCCCCACGCAGGUCUCUGUGGCUGGUGACCAUCUUCCCAGUGAACACACAGACAGAACUCACAGCACAGUGCCCAGGCGAGGAGAGGAGACCAAUAGGCUGGGACGGAAAGACGUUCGUGAGAGGUCAUUCCCUGCUUCUUAUACAGCGGUCGGGGGUGUCUCCUCCUGAAGGCAGGGUCUGGUCUGAUGCUGAAGGAGGGCUGGACUGCUGCGGGGCUGCUGAGGGCUUUCAGAUUAAGUCAUCGCACCGAUCACCCCUGUGCACAGCCACCCUGUCACCGCGCAGAGCUGAGUCGGGAUGUACUUAGAGCGCCGGACGGAGGAGGAAGGGCGCUCUUGAGACAGGAUGGCAGGGUGCAGUGAGCAGAGGUGCCACCACCACCCUCUCUUCCUUUGUCACUGAUGUUUUACACAGAACACCAGUAGUGACUAGAGCUUGACUUUUCCUAGUACUUACUGCCGAAUGAUUUCAGAAUUCUCGCUGCUUUGACAGGCUUUAGAGUGGUUCAUUGUUUUGUCUUUCUUUCAGUACCAGAAGAUUGAACUUUCUCAUUUAUUUAUUGGUUCCUAUGGCUCUUUUUUGAGUGGCCUGAUCUGGUCCCCCCCUUUGCCUGCUCCAAUUCCCUGGCCCUGUCAUGGGGGCGGAGAGGGGAGACUGGGGUGAACAGUAGCUCUAGCUGAGGUUCGUGCAAGGCAAAGGCAGCCUUUGGACCUGAACCAUCACCUCAGCUGAAGCUGCCAGUCCUCCCGUUUCUAGGUGGUGCAUUUCGAGUGGUCCUUGCUUUAUCCUCUGUCUUUGGAACCAUGUCAGGAGGCAGGUAAAAGAGAAGGAGAGGGGCGGGCAAGAGCCUUUUCCUUUCUCAUGGACAGAGCCGAACUGAGACUUCUGAGCCCCCUGGGAAGGCUAAUAAUUUGGUGCUCUUUAAAGUGAUGUUUUUCAAUUUUGGAAUAUUAAUAUUGGGAUCAGAGCACUGGGGGAAGGGGCGGGGGGAGCUGGAGAGGCAGGGUCACUGGCAGCUGCUCAGUCACGUCCCCUGUGACCCCAAACUCACCAAGUCCAGCCCCACUGGCAUACCCCUCUGGCAAAAGCAAAGCCCUACAGGUGACUGGCUUGCCCUUCUCAGAGGCAGUUUAGCAACCCUUGGCUUCUUAUAAAGCAUAUCGCUUGGGGUGAUCUCACCCCCCGAGGGCCAUAGCCCACCCAACCCCACACAGAAGCAGAUUCUGGCGACCACACCUGUCUCCCUGGCGCCCAUGCUUUCAUACCUUCGGACCCUCACCCAGGGGCUGGUCCAUCCCUGAGUCUGGAGUUACUCUGCACGGGAGCCCCGAAGCCCCUUUGCUCCAAGCCAGCCUCAGCGGAGGAGGCCAUUGCUCUCUGGAUAAACAACUUAUUAUAACUGAAAACUCGCAUUCCACUUUUAGCCUCUCCCUUUCCAGUAUGAAUAACCCCACUGCCUUUCAUCUGACUCUGCACUUCGGUCAGCUCUUCCAACCUGCCGGCACGCCCAUGAUUCCAGGCUUGACCUGGGCUGGCCUCCUGGCAUAGUUCCCUCCCUCCUCUCUCUGCUCUUUGCUGGACUAGCUCAUCUUUCAGGUGUAAACUUAAAAGUUUCUUUCCCUAGCCCUGCUGCACUGGAACUCUGUUCCCGACGCGCCCCUCUCCUGUAAAAGAGAAUGUCACACUUACUGCUAUUUGUGUAUAAAUGUCUGUCUUCCCCACCAGGCGGAAGUCUCCUGUCUGGUUUGUUUCACGGAACAUCUUUGUCUUAUCUAGCAUGCUUGGCAUUUAGACAGGACUCAUUGAAUGAAUGUUCCAUUUGUUGAAUUCAAAGGACAUACCUUCUGAUUUCAGGAUGACCCUGCAGUCCCUGACUUCAAAGCACGGCCCCCGUCCCCACCCCUCCCACCAACCUGCAGACCAUGUUUACUCAGCCCGAUGGCAGCCUCGCCCCAUUGCCUGCUCCGGGGAAGCAUGUGUCUGCAGCCUUGGCUAUCUUCAAAGGGUUUUGUUUGGAUCAGCUGGAAGGACUUCAGCACCUUCAUCAAAUCAGGGUGAACAUUACAUUGUCCAGACUCCUCAGGCAGGUUUUGUUUACCCUGGGAUCGCCUCCAAGAUAUCAGCUGAUGGCUUCAAAUUCUUUUUAUGGUCUCACAUUUGGACAGACUCAGAUUUUCCUCCUUCAUCUUCCAAACCUUCCCUAAGAUUUUCUCCCUUUGUUUGUUCAAGGUUUUUUGUAAAUGCUUUUCCCCACAUGACUUUCCCUGCAGACCACUGGCUACGUAGCUUCCACCUAGUGCUGUGAAGUCCUGCAAUGGCAGGGACUAGCUGCAAAGGGCAGGUGGCAUGUUUUCUGAUGCUCCCAGUUAUCCAUCCAUCUUUUCCCCUUUCACAGCAUGGAAGUUGGUGGGUUUUUUGGUGCAGACAUAGUGGAUGUAAACUAAUGGUUUCCUGAAGGAAAGUGGAGUGGGAAAUUUAUUUGUAAGGUGGGGGUUGCGAUUAAUAGAGAUCCAAGUUCAGUCACCAAGUGCAGACUAGGAUAGCCUGAACCUCAGGGAAAAGUGUUGAUACACAUAUACUUAGGGGACUUCCCUGGAGGUCUAGUGGUUAAGACCCUGUGCUUCAGAAGGACACAGGUUCAAUCCCUGGUCAAGUAACUAAGAUUUUGCAUGCUACUGGAAAACACACAUACACACACACACGUAUUUAAAAUACACACGUACAUUUGAUGGGCACCUACUGUGUCUAGCAUGGGUGGUAAUGAAGAUACGUAAGCCAUGGUCUUCACCCUCAAGAAGCCUAAGUCUGCUAAGACAAUGGCAGUGCAGAAUGGCGAGUGCCGGGUAAGGCAGGGGAGGGAGGAGUCAAAGACACAGAGAGUAGACCAUUUGGGUUGCAUGCAUGUCCCCUGACGUGUGGCAAUGGCACCUAGAAAGCCAGUUUUAAAAAGCCUCAAAUCCCUGGGGCCCAAGGUCACAGGUGUCUUCCUGGUCAUCAAGAUUGAUUGGAUAGCCUCAUAUUUUUCUCCCAGCUGGACUCAAACCAAGAGUCAGAAAACCACCCCCCCCCCCCGCCCCGACACAAUACCCCUGCCUCACAUAUUGAUUACCUAUUGCUGUGUAAGAAAUUACCACAAAAUGACAUAUAGAGAAAAAAAUACUUACUAUGUUAAUACAAAGAAUGUUGCCUAUCACCCACUCAUAUAAAGAUCAAGUCAUUAGCCGCUGCAACUGCUGAUUGACAGUGUACACCAUGAAAGAAAUGCAGGAUGAGGCACUUUGUGCUUUGGGGGAAAAGGCCCCUGAGAGAGCUAGAUAUGUCUCAGGAAAACUUGUUUUGUGAACCUGGAUUCUUGCAUCUUCCCAU